rnacentral:rRNA from 1 species
CCGCCGGCGACCGGCGCACGGGUGAGUAACACGUAUGCAACCUGGCCGUGACAGAUGGAUAACCGGGAGAAAUCCCGCCUAAUACAACAUAAUGCCGGGAGGGGACAUCCCCUGCCGGUCAAAGGGGGCGACCCCGGUCACGGGUGGGCAUGCGGCGCAUUAGGUAGUUGGUGGGGCAACGGCCCACCAAGCCGACGAUGCGUAGGGGUUCUGAGAGGAAGGUCCCCCACAUUGGAACUGAGACACGGUCCAAACUCCUACGGAAGGCAGCAG